rnacentral:rRNA from 1 species
CCAAUAGCGUAUAUUAAGGUUGCUGCGGUUAAAAAGCUCGUAGUUGAAUUUCGGGAUUGAUGCAUCGGUCGUGCCUUAAGGGGUAUGAACUGGUGUGGUCAAUUUCUUACCUUCUGGUGAAUUGUGAUGUCCUCCUUAAUUGGGUGUUUCAAUGAACUAGGACUUUUUACUUUGAAAAAAUUAGAGUGUUUAAAGCAGGCAUUAUUUGCUUGAAUACAUUAGCAUGGAAUAAUAAAAUAGGACAAUGAUUCUAUUUUGUUGGUUUCUAGGAUCACUGUAAUGAUUAAUAGGGAUAGAUGGGGGCAUUAGUAUUCAAUUGUCAGAGGUGAAAUUCUUGGAUCAAUUGAAGACUAACUACUGCGAAAGCAUUUGCCAAGGAUAUUUUCAUUAAUCAAGAACGAAAGUUAGGGGAUCGAAGACGAUUAGGUACGUCGUAGUCUUAACCAUAAACUAUGCCGACUAGGAAUCAGACAACGUUAAAUUUUUAAUGACUUGUUUGGCACCUUACG